UACGUAGGGGGCAAGCGUUGUCCGGAUUUAUUGGGCGUAAAGAGCGUGUAGGCGGCCAAACAGGUCAGCUGUGAAAACUCGAGGCUCAACCUCGAGACGUCGGUUGAAACCGUUUGGCUAGAGUCCGGAAGAGGAGAGUGGAAUUCCCGGUGUAGCGGUGAAAUGCGCAGAUAUCGGGAAGAACACCCGUGGCGAAGGCGGCUCUCUGGGACGGUACUGACGCUGAGACGCGAAAGCGUGGGGAUCGAACAGG
rnacentral:rRNA from 1 species